GGGCGGGAAGCUUAACGGGUAUAAGCACUCGGCUCAUAACCGAGCGAUAGAUGGGUUCGAGCCCCUCACCGCCCA
rnacentral:tRNA from 1 species